GGCGGCGGGGGGUCAGAGAAGCAUUUUUGACAAAUGUUCUCAACAAAUGUC
rnacentral:sRNA from 1 species